CUGGGUUUAUGGUCCUGGGUUUUGUAAGAAAUCAGGCUGAGCAAGCCAUGGGAAACAAGCCAGUAAGCAGUACUCUUUCAUGGCCUCUGCAUCAGCUCCUGACUCCAGGUUUCAGCCCUGUUUGAGUUCCUGUCCUGACUUCCUUCAGUGAUAUACUCCUAUGUUUUCUGAGGGUGAAAACUGCUGUGCCAUGCCUGGAAGUGAGCAUCUGUGAUUGUGCCUCCUCACUGUCCCAAGAAGCUCACACUCACCAGGAACUCCAGCCCCAGGCAACCUGAAGCCCUUCUUCUGGCCUCGGCAAACGUGCAGCAUAUGUACACAGACACACAAAUACAAAUACAAAUAAAAAAAUAUGGUUCUUAAUAUUUUUUUCCAUCUAAAAUACCAUAUUAGAAAAUAAGGUAUUUUAAGGCUAACUAGAUGGCUCAUCAGACAAAGGUAUUUGCUUCAGAUUUUCUUACUAUUGGUAUUUUUGUCUCUCUCUGCUCUCACCAUCUAUUUUACGGGAACAAUCUGAGAAACAGUAGAGAACAUCAUGUCCCUCUACUCUGGAGGCAACGUAGAGGACACUAGUGAGGAAGUCUGAUGUCAGUGAAAAACUGGGAGGUGAAGGGUCACAUGGCCCAAGGGUGACAGUGAGAUAAGCUGCCACUGAACAGAACCUCCUACUGUAAAUGGGAAUGAAGACUCCAGAAGAGAAGAGGUGGUUGGAGACCCUUUCUCAGAGCUCAGGGGUCAUACUUCCUGGAGUGGAAGCCACGGUUCCCUGACACAGAGCUAUCUGUUGUGACUGGCUAAUGAGCCACAGCAUUUGGGGGCGAAGAGGCAAGAAGGAAGCUGCCUAAGUAGCAUUUGAUUGCAUAACCAGAAAACUGAGGAGCAAAGCCAGACGGCAUCCACCACAUUGAGAACCAGAAGUCCUCAUGUGCUUUCUACAUCUGUGUCAGUUCUUGGACUCCGAUAGAGGGGGGCAUCUCAGUGUGUGUGUGUGUGUGUGUGUGUGUGUGUGUGUGUGUGUGUGUGUGUAUGUGUGUGUGUGGUAUUGUGUAUGUGUGUGGUGUUUGUGUGUGGUGUAUGUGUGGUAUGUGUGUAUGUGUAUGGUGUGUGUGUGUGGUGUAUGUGUGGUAUGUGUGCAUGUGUGUGGUGUGGUGUGUGUGUGUGUGUGUGUGUGUGUGUGUGUGUGUGUGAGUGGUGUAUGUGUGGUAUGUGUGUGUGUGUAUGUGUGUGGUGUGGUGUGUGUAUGUGUGUGGUGUGUGUGUGGUGUAUGUGUGUAUGUGUGGUGUGUGUGUGUGUGUGUGUGUGUGUGUGUCUGGUGUGUGCUCACACAUGCACGUAGCCUCUGGAUCUUCCUUUAGGGACCCAUGGCUAUAUUCUAGAGUAGGUGUUGACCACAGAGAAAGGAUUGUCUGGCUCUGUCAAGGACCAAAGAGGACCUGAAGCACUGUCAUGGCUCCCUGCCCAGAACAGGCCAGUAAAGGCAAGGUAAAGAGUCUGCCUCACAUUUCUUUCAACGUAGGUCUAAUGGGCCCACAGAUUCAUUUUGCAGUUAUUUCUGGGUUUUCUACAUUGGGAUGGAUAUAUCUAACAGUUGGCAGACGGCAUGCCAGAUAUCUCACCAAUCACAUUGGGUGAAGAAUUGCAGAGAUCAGCCCCUCCACCUGUUAGACACCCGGAAAACUCAAGUAUCCGGGAUCCCAGGCCACGACUUCGGUCACCCCAAUCACCAGGCAGAUUCGAGAGCUUGCUGCAAACUGCACGAGGCUUUAUUGUAAUUUAACUAGCUAACCCCAUGCUAGCUCGGGUCUUUCACCCACCCGCCAUGGCGGAUGGCUAGAAAAGACAGCUCGAACCCGCUGUGUACCGAUCUUGUAGGGCAGCCUAAGGGGAGUGUCUAGGGGUAUGCACAGGCUCACGAUUGGUGUGCCUCCAGGCUUGGAGGGCUUGCCCUGUGUUGAUUGGUCAACUGGUUGUUAUGGCCCAUAGGCCCUCCCAGGGUGGUUGCUAUGCUUUGUGCGUCAUUGCUGUGCACUUGUCCGUAAAGCACACCCAGGGUCGUAAAGCAUAGCGCCACCAGCUAACUUCUGAUUGGUUCCUUGUCACAAGGCAGACAUCUGACUUUCUAGUGACUAACUUCUGAUUGGUUCCUUGUCACAAGGCAGGCAUCUGACCUCUAAGUGACCAAGGCAAGUUUAUGGCAAGCAUGUGUUCGGCUGUUAUUGCUGCCGAAAGGGGAGCUGGUCCCUUCACACCGAAGACUAAAGGCACAACAAUGGCAUUUCCUAUCACAUGCCCACUGGGUUCAUUGGUACAGGGAACUACAGACUGGAUGACAGUGGCUUUCCAUUGGUUUAGCCAAGCCAUAGCUCCAAAUGCACCUGGGACAAUCUCUACCAAAGCAGACCAAUAAAGCGUUUGACACUUGGUGUGCAGCACUGCACUAGUGAGUACAGUCUUUUAAGUUCUCAUCAAGGGCUAGGUAUGAUGACACACGCCCACCCCACCCCCCACCUCCCUGCUUUUUUUUUUUAAAUGGUGUUUCGAGACAGGGUUUCUCUGUGUAACAGCCAUAGCCAUCCUGGAACUCACUCUAUAGACCAGGCUGCCUCUGCCUCUUGAGUACGGGGAUUAAGGGCAUGUGCUGCUGCCUCCACCGAUGCCAUCGCCACAACCACCACCCAGCUCAGGUGGCACACACCUUUAAUUCUAGUACUCAGGAGGCAGAGGCCAGUGGAUCUCUGUGAGUUCAAGGCCAGCCUGUUCUAUAGAGUGAGUUCCAGACCAGCCAAGGUUAUAUAGAGACCUGUGUCAACCCUCGCCCACCCCUAAAUUAAGUCCUUAUCAGUAAGGAAAUUCAAAGUUAUUUUGUUCAUGAAUGGGGAAAACAGCAAUGUAGAUUUCUUGCCUUGCCCAGGUGGGUGGUGCUAAUUCUGUCACAAUAUAGCCACAGGGUCCUUGAUCAUGCUGUCAUUCUACAGUGCAUAAUACUAAUUGGAUCAGAACAAAAUAUAAGGUAGAUGAGAGAGAAAUCUCCCUUCCCCUAAAAUUUAGAGCUCUGUCAUAGAGAUGAAAAUAUUGUGAGGAUCCACUGGUCUGAGAUAGGAUACUGUAUCCCAACUAUCCCUUGUUUCUGAGAAAAACACAUAGCAUUGUACACCAUUGAUUCAUCCAUUUUGUGGUUCAAAUACAUAUCAAGGAGAGACUUUGUAGCAGAUCGAUGCUGUGGGCCAAAAUGCCCUGUGUGCAGGAAGGUUAUUCAUGGUAGAUAAAGAUGCCUGCCGUGUGGAGUCUAUUGAAGGUUUGCUAUUAGAAUUUCAGGACAGAGCCAUGGAAACCUAGUGCAAGGGUAUUCCUUUUGUAAUGAAUUACCCUUAGCUACUCAUUGGAAGAAGAGUCAUUUAAAGGACAUUGUGGAAUUGACCAUGAGACAUCAAAUGACUUUGAAGCUGGAGCUGCCUUUCAAGUAUGAUGGAAGGUUACUGGGAGUAGAUCCAAAGAACACAAGGCAAUUAAGUGAACACAUGGCCAGGAUCCCAGUGUCUUCCUCCUCUGCUGUAUCAGAGUCAGUUUCUCAGAUCAUGCCAUCGCCUUUGUAUGAUAAACUGAUGGAGGAAAAAUCUUGUGCCUUGGGGUGAGCUAGAAGGAACCACAGUUACAUCAGUAUGGGCUCCCAAACAGUAGCACGGGAAAAUCUUGUCAAUGACCAGAUCUGUGAAUAGGUGUUGUGGCUCGAGUGUGAAAUGCCACCCACAGGUUCAUCUGUUUCAACUCUUGGCUCUGUAUAAAGGUUGUGGAACCUUUUAGAUGUGGGGUCUCUAAUUGGAAGACAUACAGUUGUAGAGGUUACAGCCAAUCUUGGUCCCAGGCUGAGAUCUCUGCUGUUUGAUCCUCCAAGACAUAGAGGAUGCUAAAGCUUAUGCUACCCUGGACACAGCCCCACUUACCACAUCUUGUUCUUUAUGGAACUAUGAGCCAAAAUAGAUACUUAUUCCCUCCAGUUGCUUCUCAUCAGGUAUUUGUUCACAGAGAUGAGAAAACUAACACAACAGGGUAUUGACCAUUCACUUUGUAUGGGAGAGGAAGAGGCAUGAUGUAGCUAUCUUAGCUUUUCAUUGCCAUAAUGAAGUACUUGACUAGGCUAUGUAGACAAGUAAGGAGACAGACAUGUGGCACAUACCUUUAAUUCCAGCACUCAAGAGGCAGAGGCAGGUAGAUAUCUGGGUUUGAGGCCAGUCUGGUCCACAGAGUGAGUUCCAGGACAAUCCUGUCUUGAAAAACAAACAAACAACAACAAUAACAACAAAAACAAAACAAGGAAAGCAAGGAGGUUUUUGGCUUAUGUCUUAGAGGUUCAAGGCUUUCAUAGGGUCAUUUCUGAGGAACGGCAGAUGGUGGGGAGCAUGAAGGAACAAGUGAUUGCAAACUUGUGCCUGCAGUAGGGGAGCAUGGAGUGGGGGAGCACACUUGCUUCUUUCAUGGCAACUUUCUCAGGAACUUCAGAGAGUCAGAAUAUUAUGGCCAUAGUGACCACCCACUAGGCAUCUGCUUUUAGAGAUCCCAUUACUCCUGAUAGCACCAUCCCAGGGGUCCUGCCUUCCUCACCUGGACCUCUGGAUGACUCUAUCUCCAGUUAUAGUGCAUCAAAAACACAUGCAAAGAGCAGGAUAGGGAAUCUGGGGACAAAGAGGCCUGAGUGAGAAGUACUUGGAUGAACUUAUGUGCCUUGGCACAAGAUGUGGUAUCUUUGUGUCUCAAGUCAUUGCUUACCAGAGGGCAUUCACCUCAAAAGAUGCAGUAAACAGCCAUGUGGACAGGAGGACUCCCUGACAGACACCAGUUAGCUUCUGUCUUUUAGAACUCCCAUGAGGCUUUUAGUCAGUCUCUUGGUGACAGAUUGAUUAUAUUGGCCUCUUCUAUCAAGGGAAGGACAAUGCUUCACACUAAAAUUGACAUCUUCUCCAUAGUAGACGUCAUUGCCUAUGAUGUCUCUUCUGGUUCUUCUGUGAAGGCUUACAGAAUGCUUGAUUUAUCCAAUGAGGUUUCUAACAUGGGCCCUUGUAUCAACUCGAAAUAAGGGUUAUCUGUAGCUUUGGAGCCUGUCCUGGAACUUGCUUUGUAAAUCAGGCUGGCCUGGAACUCACAAAUAGGUCUGUCUCUGCUUCCGAAGUGCUGGGAUUAAAAGUGAGCGCCACCACUGCCCGGCCAAUAAGAGUUCUUUGAUUAUGGAUGAGAUUUAAUAGCGGGUAGCUAAAAACAGACCCACUGGUUCUAUCUCAUCUGUCACUCCAACUGGAGCAGCUAUCCAGCUCAAAUUUUGGAAUGGCCAUGCAUAAACUUUUGCACCACCCUGGACAAAACAUUUAGGAUACUCUCCUUCCAGGGCUGCAAGCUAUGCCUUCCACCAACAGCCAGAGUGCACACAUCACAGACUAAAGUGAGAGGAUUAGGUGCGGGUGAGCUUUCUCACACGAUGGCCAUGCCAGUCUUCACAUCCUUGUAAUUUGAGGCUCUGCUAGAUCUGAGGUCUAGGAUCACAGAGAAAGGAUGCUUGAACCUGUGAAGGAAAUAAGAUCUUUUACUAAACCAAAU
rnacentral:lncRNA from 1 species